GCUCAGGACGAACGCUGGCGGCGUGCCUAAUACAUGCAAGUCGAGCGGACAGAAGGGAGCUUGCUCCCGGAUGUUAGCGGCGGACGGGUGAGUAACACGUGGGUAACCUGCCUGUAAGACUGGGAUAACUCCGGGAAACCGGAGCUAAUACCGGAUAGUUCCUUGAACCGCAUGGUUCAAGGAUGAAAGACGGUUUCGGCUGUCACUUACAGAUGGACCCGCGGCGCAUUAGCUAGUUGGUGAGGUAACGGCUCACCAAGGCGACGAUGCGUAGCCGACCUGAGAGGGUGAUCGGCCACACUGGGACUGAGACACGGCCCAGACUCCUACGGGAGGCAGCAGUAGGGAAUCUUCCGCAAUGGACGAAAGUCUGACGGAGCAACGCCGCGUGAGUGAUGAAGGUUUUCGGAUCGUAAAGCUCUGUUGUUAGGGAAGAACAAGUGCAAGAGUAACUGCUUGCACCUUGACGGUACCUAACCAGAAAGCCACGGCUAACUACGUGCCAGCAGCCGCGGUAAUACGUAGGUGGCAAGCGUUGUCCGGAAUUAUUGGGCGUAAAGGGCUCGCAGGCGGUUUCUUAAGUCUGAUGUGAAAGCCCCCGGCUCAACCGGGGAGGGUCAUUGGAAACUGGGAAACUUGAGUGCAGAAGAGGAGAGUGGAAUUCCACGUGUAGCGGUGAAAUGCGUAGAGAUGUGGAGGAACACCAGUGGCGAAGGCGACUCUCUGGUCUGUAACUGACGCUGAGGAGCGAAAGCGUGGGGAGCGAACAGGAUUAGAUACCCUGGUAGUCCACGCCGUAAACGAUGAGUGCUAAGUGUUAGGGGGUUUCCGCCCCUUAGUGCUGCAGCUAACGCAUUAAGCACUCCGCCUGGGGAGUACGGUCGCAAGACUGAAACUCAAAGGAAUUGACGGGGGCCCGCACAAGCGGUGGAGCAUGUGGUUUAAUUCGAAGCAACGCGAAGAACCUUACCAGGUCUUGACAUCCUCUGACAACCCUAGAGAUAGGGCUUUCCCUUCGGGGACAGAGUGACAGGUGGUGCAUGGUUGUCGUCAGCUCGUGUCGUGAGAUGUUGGGUUAAGUCCCGCAACGAGCGCAACCCUUGAUCUUAGUUGCCAGCAUUCAGUUGGGCACUCUAAGGUGACUGCCGGUGACAAACCGGAGGAAGGUGGGGAUGACGUCAAAUCAUCAUGCCCCUUAUGACCUGGGCUACACACGUGCUACAAUGGACAGAACAAAGGGCUGCGAG
rnacentral:rRNA from 1 species